AUAAAUCAAACCUUUGGAAUUUGUACUUUCUAUAUCUAGUGACAAGCUCUGUUUUCCUAUUAGAUACAUUUCAUUGAUGAUCUUAGUAGAUUUUCUUUUGGAAAGCGCUUUCAUUUUUAACUCAUUUUUCUUUUCUUAUUUUUUUGGUGGCUGUGUUUCAGGAUUCAAGCAUUUGAAAUGAUGGCAAUUGCUGUGGUAGGGAACAACCUCAUAUGUUUGUCUUUUCAGCCUUUAGACUUUUACUGCAUGUCUGUCUUCAAUUAGUUGGGUUUCCGGUGGUGCUAUGUAGCUUAUAAUUUUCUACUAUCAUUUCGAAUUAUCUGCCAUAGUGUUCUUGCACCUGCAAGUUAUGACAAAAAUCUGGAUUGCAUGUGGUCAUAUUACUGAAGAAGUCUUCCGAGUCAAAGCCUAAACAAUUUGGGAUAUAAGAUUUUUCGCUUUGUUAUGAAAAUGUUGUGCAUUAGUGAUGUAUAAUUUCCAUUAUUGGUUGGUAUUAAUGAGAUGGUUGUUCAUUAGUUUGACAGGUUUCCUUUGUUUGUGCAGCUAUGACUUAAAUAGUACCUAACCAUCCCAUUUUAUAGGCUAUUUGUUGGAUGAUUAGAAUAUAUGAUUUGUGUGUUUUUGAACUAUGGUCCAUUGUAGUGAAAUGACACACUGUACAGAUGGAGUACAAAAGCCUUGUGAGCGUACAGGUUUUGGUUUAUAACAACUUAAAGAUUUAGCUUAAUCAUCACAGGUCCCAGUGCAGAAUUCAUGGGUUGUGGCCGUGUGCAUGUUGUAAAGUUUAAGUGGUCUAGUAUGGAAGUUCUUCUUCAUCAGACUGAUGCCCAUGCCUCUAAAAGAUUUGGAUUUUAGGUACAUGGAAAAUAUUUGUAUAUGUCUGGACACUGAUAGCAUAGUAGUUAGAAUUUACAAACCAAGUCAGUUUGCUUUGCCCCCACACUUUGUAAU